AACCUAGCACACCUGCGGUGUGUACCUGCGGAAGGAUCAUUACCGAGUUUACAAACUCCCAACCCUUUGUGAACCUUACCAUAUUGUUGCUUCGGCGGGACCGCCCCGGCGCCUUCGGGCCCGGAACCAGGCGCCCGCCGGAGGCCCCAAACUCUUAUGUCUUUAGUGGUUUUCUCCUCUGAGUGACACAUAAACAAAUAAAUAAAAACUUUCAGCAAUGGAUCUCAGAUCGGAAGAGCA
rnacentral:misc_RNA from 1 species